AACACCUCAAGUCAAGAAGUUGGUUUUUUAAAUUAAUUUUCGAGACUUGGAUUUGAGUGAUCCUAACUAUUUCUUGAAAUAGGCAGGUCAUUUGAAAUUCAGGUGCAGCUGAACUUUUCUUCUGAGCUAAAAGCAUUAUUUUAUUUAGUCUCCGGACUAUUACUUUUUGCUGCAGCUAACAUAAAGGGAGAGAGUGUUCAUUUAUGGCUGACUGAUGCAGGAAUUUAUCAGUUCUUUUUCCGUAAAAAGAAAAGACUGUUAG
rnacentral:misc_RNA from 1 species